UACGUAGGGCGCGAGCGUUGUCCGGAAUUAUUGGGCGUAAAGAGCUCGUAGGCGGCCUGUUGCGUCCGCUGUGAAAUCCCGGGGCUUAACCCCGGGCGUGCAGUGGAUACGGGCUGGCUGGAGGCAGGCAGGGGAGAACGGAAUUCCCGGUGUAGCGGUGAAAUGCGCAGAUAUCGGGAGGAACACCGGUGGCGAAGGCGGGUCUCUGGGCAGUAACUGACGCUGAGGAGCGAAAGCGUGGGGAGCGAACAGG
rnacentral:rRNA from 1 species